rnacentral:rRNA from 1 species
GACGAACGCUGGCGGCGUGCUUAACACAUGCAAGUCGAACGGCAAGGCCCUGCUUUUUUUGGCUGCUCGAGUGGCGAACGGGUGAGUAACACGUGAGUAACCUGACCUGGACUUUGGGAUUACUUCAGGAAACUGGGGCUAAUACCGGAGCGGAGCUCCUGCUGCCUGGUGGGGGUUGGAAAGUUUAGGCGGUUGGGGAUGGAGGUGGGGCUUAGCAGCUUGUGGGUGGGGGAGUGGCUUACCAAGGAGUGGACGGGUAGCCGGCCUGAGAGGGUGACCGGGCACAGAGGCACUGGGAGAGGGCCCAGAGUGAUAGGGGGAGCAAGAGGGGGGAACAUUGCAAGACGGGCGGAAGGCUGAUGGAGCGACGCCGGGUGCGGGAUGACGGCUUGCGGGAUGUAAACCGCUCUGGCUUGUAACGAGGCGUGAGGAAGGUAACUGGAUAAUAAGGAACCGGUUAAUUAGUG